UACGGAGGAUCCAAGCGUUAUCCGGAUUCAUUGGGUUUAAAGGGUCCGUAGGCGGAUUUUUAAGUCAGUGGUGAAAGCCGACAGCUCAACUGUCGAACUGCCAUUGAUACUGUUUGUCUUGAGUUAUUAUGAAGUGGUUAGAAUGUGUAGUGUAGCGGUGAAAUGCAUAGAUAUUACACAGAAUACCGAUUGCGAAGGCAGCUUACUAACAUGUAACUGACGCUGAGGGACGAAAGCGUGGGGAGCAAACAGG
rnacentral:rRNA from 1 species